rnacentral:lncRNA from 1 species
UUCCAAAGGGCAUGUUAAUGCUAAAUUAAUUGAUUGUCAAAUUUUCCAGUCAACUCAAAUUACCAAAGUAAGAAAAAGAGCCCAAUAUCCAUCAUUAAAGCCAAUAAAAGAUUAACAAUAACAGUUGAAGUAAAAUUCCAUGAGCAUCUUGUUGAUUCAUCCAAAUAUGCAUUUGAAAGCUUAAACAAGUAGAAGCUAUCCAUUAACUAGACAAAAAAUCACAGCGCAACAUAUGGUACUCAGUGGAUUUAAUAAGCAUUAUGUAAUUGAAAUGUACCUUUGAUAAUUUCCUUUCCAGAAUUGACUCAAACAUUCGGCAAUGUACAAAAUGAGGAGGAAAUUGACAACCCGACAAACGGCCAGAAACGAAAACGCGAACAGGACCUUAGCUGGACUCGAACGGACCUUCAGAAGAUUUCACUUGAUCUACUCCAUUUUUGGUUAAGAUCUGCAGGGCUUCGUGGAGAAAAAGNNNNNNNNNNNNNGUNGAGAAAAANUCGUUGGUUUCAGGUGGGAUUUUGAGGAGUUUCAUGGUUGUGUUUUUUAAUCAUUUUCGCAGCUGAUUUGCUGAUUUCGAAGGGCUAUCUUCAACUGAUUUGAGCAGAUUUUCAGCUACCAUUUUGGGGCUUUUUUUCACCAGCUUUACAACUAGUUUUGCUGCAUUUUUUGGCAGAUUUUAGCUGCGUUUUUUGCUGUUUUGGAGGCUAUUUUUUGUGAUUUUUGCAGCUAAAAAGCUAUUGGUUUUUUACUUCAAAGAGGCAGCUAACAAUGGUGCUCUACAUGUUGUUUUUGCUGGAGAUUUUAGCUAAUGUUCAUGGAGUUUUCAGGUUACUUUCUUGGCUAAAAAUGGAGUUUAGUGGUGGUUUGGAGGUGGUGAGCAACUGAGAAUUUUGUGAAGAAGAAGGGGUUUGUUUGGGAGGAAGAAGAUCGGCAGCAGCUGCUCGCAUGAGGCAGCUGCGUUUUUUCUUUUUAUGAUGCUGCUGCCCACUGUUUUUUUUUCUUCUUUUCUUGUUUUUCUCUAUGUCCCACGCCUUUUAGGCGUUAGGUCUAGGGUCCUUUUAUAGUCUAAGUCUAGGAUUUUAGAGGUAUUGGGCUUGGGUUAUUAUGGGCUAGGUCCGAAAAUUAGGCCUAAAAAUGGGUUGUUCGAGCCCAAGUUUUAUUCUUUCCCGCGAACGAGAUUAAAAUACGACCUCAUUUAUUAAUUAGUCCUACUUAAGUAAAAUAACUGUUAAAAUAAGACUGACCGUUAAAACAAAACUAUUUUUAGUAUUUUCAAAAUAUCAUACUAAAAGAUAAAAGAUAAAUAUAAAAAAAAAUAGAAAAAUCAUUAAGAUAACAUUCUUAGAAUUGCUUUUGUAUUUUUGAAUUUAGUAGACAAAUUAAAAGUAACUAGAUAAAAAUAUUAACUAGCUAAAUAAGAGAAAAUAUUUUUUGUAAUUUUUAUUUUUUUGUGAUAAAAUAAAGCAAAUAGAGUCAAAACUAGUUGAAAUAACUAUAUUAAGCCUACAUAAAAUAUUUGCAUGCUAAAGUGGGUGAAAUUUCGGGGAGGGUCAAAAAUCACAUGUCUACAGCUUACCUAGUAAAGCCAGAAUAGUUAGCCAGAGUAAUUAGACGUUAAUUCCAGAAACCUGCAAACAGUGUACAUCAAUCAUUAAAGCAAAAUAGGCAAACCACAUUUUUCGCUGAAAAUCCAUUGUCCGAAAAUUCAUAAAAUCCAUCAAGUUAAUGUCACUCCACUCAGAGCUAAAAGCCAAUGAUCAUCUGAACUAUAAAAAUUACUCGUUUCAAUAAUUUAAGAUGAGUUUGGUGGAAAUCACCAUGUAAAUGAAUUUCUCCAAUAUAAAGUAGUUAAAAAGGUUCCAACGGGUAUUUAGUGCUAAAUUUUUGCUCCGUUUUCCUUUAUUGUAUACUUCUAAAUUAUCACCAACUAUAAUAUCAUGUCUUCUGAAAUUCCUUUCUUUAAAUUUCUUUCAGGAACAACUUAAAGAAAAAGUAAGAAGAUUCAAGAGAGGACAAAACUUCGGAUGAUCUAAGGUAAGUGAGACUUGUCAAGGAUUUGUACCAACUAAACUUGUGGGCAAAUUUGAAGAAGCAAAACAAAUUACAGAAAGAUGAAAAUAGACCAAUAUAAAGUAGUAAAAUUUAAAUAAUUAUGAAAAUUUGAAAAGCAAACUCAUUUGCUGCACAGGUAAGUUGGAACAACAGUCCAAAUACAUUGUAUCACCUAAUCAAAGGCUCCUACAAAUGAUUUUAUCAUUUUUCUUUUGCAAUUUUAGUCUUUCUCCAUAUUUUUUAUCUUCAUUUUUUCUCCUCCAAGAUUUUUAUUUUUAGUAGUUCAACGUAAUUUCUUGCUAAUUUUUAGUUCAAAAAUUUAAAGAAUGUCUAAAUGCUUCGCCUCAAAUUUGAUCAGUACACCCCGCUGCAAGAAAAAAGUCUAAUUCGUUGAGUAAUUUUCUCAAGCUAAAACAGAAACGGAGAAGCUACCACAUAGAAAGAGAAGAGCACGAAGAUAAUGGAAAUAGUAAAGGGUAAAUUGAUCUCACCUGGAAGUGAUCAAAAGAGUAGAAGCAACAAAGCCAAAGAAUAGAGCGAAACUAAACAACAGAGUGUAAACUGAUUGAAAAUUGUAGGGGAAGAAAAGUAAUAUCCGAUAUUGCCCACCAUUUACCCAAAAGCAAAAACAGCAGAUGGUGUUCUCUCAGGAGUGUGAGUCAGCAGACCAAGUAGAAGCAAUUUGGUAAACCUGAUCUUUAGGGAUGAAACGGAAUUCCAAAAGGUUACGUACUUAAGAGCUGAAUAUUUUCGAUUUUUUUCGUUAUUUGAAAUCCACAAGGAAGGCUAGAAAUAACUCUCUAUUAUAGAUUAAGAAGAAAUGACCAAGAUACCCACAUAGCACAAGCAGGCAUGUUGACGGAGACCUGCUUAACUCUCUCUUAUAGAAUAAGAGAAUAUCAAGACCAUCAAGUGUUAAUCAAGGUACGAUUACUUAAAUUGCGAUAAUAUUUUGCUAUUAUUUUUUAGCCCAUUAAUUUUGAGGUCACAUAAUUACCAAAUAAUUUUAGGUGUUGGAGGAUGAAAGAAGCAUUUCAAGGAACUAACACGAGCUUGAAACUGUCGAGAUUUCUCAUGCUCCAAGAUAAGCUAAUUUAUCCAAAUAUAAGAAACUCAGAAUUAAAACUUUUCAACAUAACAACUUGGCACAAUCGUAUUAUUGGUUUGUGCUUGCAAUAGGGGAAAUGGAAAGAAACGACAGUUACAAAGUAGAUGAAACAUUGUAAUAAAAAUAUUACAUAUAACAACGAAAGAAACAGAAAGACAUCAAAAUCUUUCUAAAAGAUGAAGCGGCAAGACAUCAAAAUUUGAGCUACUUUAAGGCACGAAGAAUUGAAGGAAAGAACAGAAGAAUAAUGAAAAAGAUUAUUAAAGAAAAAAAUAAUACUGCUUGAUAGAAAAGAAAUAAGAACCGAUAAUGGACAGAUAGAGCAACUUGCGUUGCCAUUUAUUUGUUUUUUCUCUCUCUUUCUAUCUGUAGUUUCUUCACUUUCUAAUUUUCUUUUCUAAUUUUUUUUAUUUCAUGUUUUAUUUAUUUGGCUAAAAGAAAAUUCUAUUAUUUAAAAAGUUUUACAUUAAUAAAUAAAAGUUCAGGUACAUAUAAGUAUGUAUCUAAUAUAUAUUUGACUAAAAGAAUCACGCAUACAAACAAAACAUAUAAUUAAUGUGUGUCUGUUUGUGUGAAAAGUUUCUUUACGAAUUCUUUUCCCUUUUUUAAAGAAAAUUUGAUAAAAUGAGGUUUAGUCUAAGCUUAUAUUUUAAGAGAAAAUUGUGUUUGUGAUUUUAACUAUAUAUGAAUUAUUUAUAUACACGUGAUAAAUAAUAAUUUUUCUAUUGUGACUGAAAAUAUAAAAAUAUUAUUUCUAAACUAUUAAUGUCUUUAUAAUUGCGCAAAACGCGAUCAAAUUUACAAGUAUGUUGAUAAUUUAAAAAUCUAGAUACUUAUCUCUUAUGUUUGUCACGAAAGCUAAACUUCCAACUUGAGAAAAUAUCAUCGUUCUUUCCAGAUAUUUUAUCAAACAACUAGGUUGUAACAUUGUCUUUAUUCCCCUCUCGUCUGGGAGCAUUUCUCAAAGUUGUUCCAAUGAGCCCACAGAAAUUGAAAGUUAUUCACGGGUCUAACCCAUGUAAAAGAAUAUUAAAAGAAACAACACUGUCCAGUUACACAUCGACCAAACAUCACAACAGAGAACUCUUUUUAAAGACAAGCUAUAGGCUCGUACCACUGUAUCCUUGAGUUCUAAGGAGACAGAAAACCAAGUCUGGUUGAUGAGGCAUGGCCAUUUGAUGAGAGCGUGAUUAAUUUAAGUCAAUUAAAUUUUUUUACCUUUAGAAAAAUCAGCAUUGAUCAGGACUAUUUGCAUGGCAGCUCAAGUUAAUGGUCAGCACCACCAAGGCAGCAAGCAAUGAACGAUAUAUUAUUUCACCUUUCCUUACACCAAAUUCUUCUUACAAUCAGUUCUCUUUUUUGGGAUUUGAAUAUUCGUCCAGUUUUGAUAUAAGGACCACUUUGGUUUAAAUUAAAGAAUUUAAACUGUCCUUUGGUUCUAUAAAUUAAUGAUCAUUAUCAUUCUAAAUUAAAUCAGAGAAGCAGAACUAGUUAGCUCUUAAAAAUGGUUUAUGUGCCAUAAUAAGCCUUUUAAUUAUCAAUUAUUGAUUCAAAUUAAACAAGAAAAAUAGUUCAAAUGAAUCAGGUAAAUAUCAAUAUUGAAAGUUAGCUUCAACUAGCCCAGCGAAAAGGCAGUGGCCCAGCCCAAAAUUAUAAUAUAUUAAAUACUAUAACUUUAAUACAUAUUCAAAUGUGUGGUCAAUUAUAGUUUGCCUAUCAUGCCUCAUACACGUGAUACAACUUUUAUAUUUCAUACAAGUAUACUGCUGUAUAUAUAUAUAUUGUAUGUCAUUUGUAUAUAUUUUGUAUAGCGUACGUUCUUCUUUCUCUUCGAGUUUCAAUUAUGGAUGUUAACGGGCCGGGUUGAGCCGGUUUUAGACCAACCCAGAGCGGUAUUAACCUGGACCGGUGGUAGGGGCCAGGUACGGCUGGGUUUGGGGGUUGGUCAGUAUAUAUUUUCCUUACUGGUUAACCGGACUGGUCAAAACCGGUCAAGGAAAAUAACUGUUGAACUGGUUAACGAGACCGGCCUAGACCGAUUCAACAGCUAUUUUCUGAUUUUUUUUUUUAAAAUUCAUUUGACCUUUGGCAACAUUCCAAUUUGACCGUUGCCCAACGGAUAUUUAGCAAGAAUAGCACUUUUUUGGGCAAUUUUUUUUUAAAAAAAUACUUUUAGUAAUUACUAAUUUAGCCUUUUAAAAAAUUAUAAAUACACUCCCUCCUCUUAUUCAUUUCUUCAUUCAUCUCUCAUUUCUCAAAUUCAAAUUUUCAAUUUAAGUUAAAACAUGCCCCGUGCUUCCAGAUUGCGAAUAGGAAACACUUUGAGGUGGUAGAAGAAAAUAAAGAAGUUCACAAAGUAAAGUGCACGAACU